rnacentral:rRNA from 1 species
UGCCAGCAGCCGCGGUAAUACGGAGAGGGCAAGCGUUGUUCGGAAUCACUGGGCAUAAAGCGCACGUAGGCUGAUUGGAAAGUCAGUUGUGAAAGCCCGGGGCUCAACCCCGGAAUUGCUUCUGAAACUUCCAGUCUUGAGGGUGAGAGGGGAGAGUGGAACUUCUGGUGGAGCGGUGAAAUGCGUAGAGAUCAGAAGGAACACCGGUGGCGAAAGCGACUCUCUGGCUCAUUUCUGACGCUGAGGUGCGAAAGCGUGGGGAGCAAACAGGAUUAGAUA